CAUCCAUCAGUAGGAGUCUAUGAAGAGUCAAAAGGGACUCUCCCAGAAUAACCUUGCAGUCCUUGCACAUACCCCUAUCGCUCCUUCUGAGGAGGAGGUAAUCAAUCUGAGUCCUCGCCGCCGAACUCUUGAAGGUGACCAAAUGCUCCUUCCUCUUCUGAAAUUGUCAAGUUCGCAAUCAGGAGCUCGGAAGCCUUGGCGAAAUCAAGCAGUGACGUGCCUCCUCCUUUCCUAACCCCAAAGCCGAAGCCACCGUGCACCUCACCAUAACCACCAGCAUCAACCCUAAUAUGACCAUUAAAGUCCCCUCCAAUAACUAACUUCUUAGAUUGGGGAAUACUACUCACCAUAUCAUCCGUCCUCACAAAAGCGCCUCUUAACCUCCUCGUCUAAGCCCGAUUGCGGCGCGUAAGCACUGAUGACAUUCAGGACGCAACCCCCAAUAACCAACUUAAUAGACAUUAACCUAUCAUUCACUCACCUAACCUCGACCACGGACUCCCUUAUAUCCCUAUCAACCAAGAUG
rnacentral:lncRNA from 1 species